rnacentral:rRNA from 1 species
GUGGGGAAUCUUAGACAAUGGGGGAAACCCUGAUCUAGCCAUGCCGCGUGAGCGAUGAAGGCCUUAGGGUUGUAAAGCUCUUUCAGUGGGGAAGAUAAUGACGGUACCCACAGAAGAAGCCCCGGCUAACUCCGUGCCAGCAGCCGCGGUAAUACGGAGGGGGCUAGCGUUGUUCGGAAUUACUGGGCGUAAAGCGCACGUAGGCGGGCGGAGAAGUCAGAGGUGAAAUCCCAGGGCUCAACCUUGGAACUGCCUUUGAAACUUUCUGUCUUGAGGUCGAGAGAGGUGAGUGGAAUUCCGAGUGUAGAGGUGAAAUUCGUAGAUAUUCGGAGGAACACCAGUGGCGAAGGCGGCUCACUGGCUCGAUACUGACGCUGAGGUGCGAAAGCGUGGGGAGCAAACAGGAUUAGAUACCCGUGUAGUCC